UCGUAAAAUUAAGCAGCCGAACUUCAUCCUUGCAGGCCAUUGGCAUCAGGGGCGUAACUACAGGGGGGGGUUGGGGGGUGUCUCACCCCCCCAAUCUUUCGAAACGGUACUCUCGUCGGGCAAAAACUAAGAAAAGGUCGGGAAAAACUACUGAAAAUCUAGUCGAAAAUUUUAAAUCAUCUGGAUGGGCAGGGCAAUGAAAGAUUUUAAGUUUCAGAUAUUGUUCACAAAAUAAGGGUUUCGUGCAUGUUUUAACAGGAAUUUGUCCGAAAAUUUUUUUUUUACCUUUAAUUGAACUGGUCGUAUGUC